CCUACGGGUGGCAGCAGUAGGGAAUUUUUCACAAUGGGCGAAACCCUGAUGGAGCAAUGCCGCGUGAAUGAUGAAGUUCUUAUAUAUUGUAAGAUUCUUUUAUUUGGGAAGAAAAACUAAUGUAGGAAAUGACUUUAGUCUGACUGUACCAUUUGAAUAAGUAUCGGCUAACUAUGUGCCAGCAGCCGCGGUAAUACAUAGGAUGCAAGCGUUAGGCGGAUUUACUGGGCGUAAUACGCGCGCAGGCGGGUUAACAAGUUUGGUAUGAAAGGCUUUUGCUUAACGAAAGUUUGUAUCAAAAACUGUUAGGCUAGAGUGUAGUAGAGAGUUGUGGAAUUCCAUGUGGAGCGGUGGAAUGCGUAGAUAUAUGGAAGAACACCAGUGGCGAAGGCGAGAACUUAGGCUAUCACUGACGCUGAGGCUCGAAAGUGUGGGGAGCAAAUAGGAUUAGAUACCCGAGUAGUC
rnacentral:rRNA from 1 species